AUUGAACGCUGGCGGAAUGCUUUACACAUGCAAGUCGAGCGGCAGCGCGGGGCAACCUGGCGGCGAGCGGCGAACGGGUGAGUAAUACAUCGGAACGUACCCAGUUGUGGGGGAUAGCCCGGCGAAAGCCGGAUUAAUACCGCAUACGACCUGAGGGUGAAAGGGGGGGGAUCGCAAGACCUCUCGCAGUUGGAGCGGCCGAUGGCGGAUUAGCUAGUUGGUAGGGUAAAGGCCUACCAAGGCAACGAUCCGUAGCUGGUCUGAGAGGACGACCAGCCACACUGGAACUGAGACACGGUCCAGACUCCUACGGGAGGCAGCAGUGGGGAAUUUUGGACAAUGGGGGCAACCCUGAUCCAGCCAUUCCGCGUGAGUGAAGAAGGCCUCGG
rnacentral:rRNA from 1 species